CUCUUGGUCCAUGGACCGGCACUGGGCCUCAGCAUGCAGAAACUAGACCUCGCAAACAAGCGAAGCGCCAUCCACGGGAUGCAGGCAACAUGCAAAACCACGCCACCUCCAGUCCGUGGAAAAAUCUUUCUCCAUGGAACCGGUCCCUGGGGCCCAAAAUGUUGGGGGCCACUG